UCUCUGUUAGUAUAUCGGUUAGUACACGCGCCUGUCACGCGCGAAAGCGGGGUUCGACUCCCCGACAGAGAG
rfam:Leucoagaricus sp. SymC.cos contig12735, whole genome shotgun sequence.